UACGGGGGGAGCAAGCGUUGUUCGGAUUUACUGGGCGUAAAGGGCGCGUAGGCGGUAGCACAAGUCAGUUGUGAAAUCUCCGGGCUUAACUCGGAAAGGUCAACUGAUACUGUGCGACUAGAGUGCAGAAGGGGCAACUGGAAUUCUCGGUGUAGCGGUGAAAUGCGUAGAUAUCUGGAGGAACACCGGUGGCGAAGGCGGCAUCCUGGACCGACACUGACGCUGAGGAGCGAAAGCCAGGGGAGCAAACGGG
rnacentral:rRNA from 1 species